rnacentral:rRNA from 1 species
GAUUGAACGCUGGCGGCAUGCUUUACACAUGCAAGUCGAACGCGAAAGCGGGGGGCAACCCUGCCGGUAGAGUGGCGAACGGGUGAGUAAUACAUCGGAACGUAUCCUCGCGUGGGGGACAACCAGUCGAAAGACGGGCUAAUACCGCAUACGCUGGAGACAGGAAAGCAGGGGACCCGCAAGGGCCUUGUGCGCAUGGAGCGGCCGAUGUCUGAUUAGCUAGUUGGUGGGGAAAGGCUCACCAAGGCGACGAUCAGUAGCUGGUCUGAGAGGGAUGAUCAGCCACACUGGGACUGAGACACGGCCCAGACUCCUACGGGAGGCAGCAGU